rnacentral:rRNA from 1 species
UACGUAGGGGCGAGCGUUGUCCGGAUUUCUUGGGCGUAAAGAGCUCGGAGGCGGUUCGAUAAGUCGGACGUGAAAUCUCCACGCUCAACGUGGAGGGGCCGUUCGAUACUGUCGUGACUCGAGUCCGGUAGGGGAGUGUGGAAUUCCCGGUGUAGCGGUGAAAUGCGCAGAGAUCGGGAGGAACACCCGUAGCGAAGGCGGCACUCUGGGCCGGUACUGACGCUGAGGUGCGAAAGCGUGGGGAGCAAACAGG